CCUACGGGGGGCAGCAGUGAGGAAUAUUGGUCAAUGGGCGCAAGCCUGAACCAGCCAUGCCGCGUGCAGGAUGAAGCAUCUAUGGUGUGUAAACUGCUUUUGUACGAGAAGAAACACUCCUUCGUGAAGGAGCUUGACGGUAUCGUAAGAAUAAGGACCGGCUAACUCCGUGCCAGCAGCCGCGGUAAUACGGAGGGUCCAAGCGCUAUCCGGAAUCAUUGGGUUUAAAGGGUCCGUAGGCGGUUUUGUAAGUCAGUGGUGAAAGCCUAUCGCUCAACGGUGGAACGGCCAUUGAUACUGCAAGACUUGAAUUAUUAGGAAGUAACUAGAAUAUGUAGUGUAGCGGUGAAAUGCUUAGAGAUUACAUGGAAUACCAAUUGCGAAGGCAGGUUACUACUAAUGGAUUGACGCUGAUGGACGAAAGCGUGGGUAGCGAACAG
rnacentral:rRNA from 1 species